AGCUGAGCCUUUUUAUUUGGGUAGAAUAAAAACAGAAACAGUAACAGGAAAUUCACCAGUUCCUUCUCUGUCCCUGAAAAAGGUGCACCAAGGGAAAUUAAACCACAGGAAAUGUUAUUCAUGUUAAAACAAUCUAUUCAGCCACUCAAAACUACAAAUCAAAGAAAAUUGGAAAAACCUUUCCAAUGAGUUUCAGUGAAAACACUCUUUAUUAGUAAGCAGACAUUUCACACUUUCUGAUUACAUACAUCAUGCAAAAUGACUUCACACAUGGUUGUCUGUUCAUUGUGACAUCUUUUUUGAGAUGAUUAUAAAUUUAAGAUGACUGCAGUAGUAAAAAUAAUUCAUGAAAAUGACUCUCAAUGAAGCAAAACACUACAUAGCACACAUGAAAUACUGUUCAUCCCUCCUGGAUGUUUAAUUCUCUCCUAAUGUAAAUCUCUAUUUUGGAAGACUAUUAUAUACAAAAAUGGCAGUUGUUUUUGUAUGUGCAUCUAUAGGCACUCAAAUGAUAAAAACAAGAAAAUUUCAAAUAAUUUUACAAGGUUUAGUUGUUUUUCCUGUUUUGUUAAUACAAAACAGGACAAUGCCCUUUGAUUUACAAUGUUCAAUUCUUUUAAGAAAUCAUUUUCUUCGGAAGAUGAUUUUGAUCCAUGAAAAAGUUGUUUUACCCCUGGUAAUCUUUUUAAAAUGGGGCUGGCUGUUACAUUAUGCAAGUUGUUUUCAAUGAGUGAAAAGGAGUAGAGCUUGAGAAGAAUUCCUCUCAAUUAUGGCUCUGAGAAAACUUCUCUGCAGUGGUGGGCUCACCACUUUCAUUUUGUAGUAGUUCUGGUAGCACUCCCAGUAUCAAAACCCUAGCACAGGUAAAUUCACCUCUUUAAAAUAAGUAGUGACCCUGGAGAAAGAUGAAUUCCAAAUCUAGUAGCAUAUUCAAGUCAUAUGGCAGAGAAAUAGGCAUAAAAGACUUUUUUAGGUACUUGGGGUGCUGCUGUAACAAAUACCUAAAAAUGGAAAAGUGGCUCUGGAAUUGGGCAGUAGGUAGAGGCUGGAAGAAUUCUGAGGAGCAUGCCAGAAAGAAGCUAAAUUGCCUUAAACAGACUGUUAGUAGAAAUAUGGAAUGUUAAUGCUAGGGCGGCCUUGAAGGAAGAAAGGAGUAUAAUAGACAAUACCUCAAUUGCCCUACAGUAUCUAAAUCAUCAUGAAUAGACUGUUGGUAGAAAAUGAGGAAUAUGUUAUUGGAAAACUGGAGGAAAGGGGUCCUCAUUACAUAGCAGCAAAAAGCUAAGCUGAAUUGUGUCCUGCAGUUAUGUGUAAAGCAGAACUUUUAAGUGAUGACUUCAAUAUUUAGCCGAAGAUAUUUCCAAGCAAGCUGUGGAAGGUACAGCCUGCUGUCUUCUUGCUGAUUAUAGUAAAAUGUGGAAGGAGGUAGAUAAAUUAAGGGAAGAAUGUUAAAGAAACAAGGACUUGAUGAUUUGGGAAAUUCGUGGCCUGUUCAAAUGGCAAAAGCCACUAAAACUAAGAGAUUUAGUCAGGCCAGCCUUCUCUAGAGAAAGUGAUGAAGGUAUGGCUGUAUAACCUUCUGCUAAUACUUCAGAAACAUCAAAAGGUCUGAGUAUCAGGUCACACAAAAGGCUCUUUGAAGACAUUAAGGGUGUGAAUCAUAGAUCCUCUCAGCUAUUUCACAAAAAGCCAAAAAUAGAGGAUUUUCUAGGAAAGAUAUGUGAGGAGCCUCCUAUCUAAAUGAGUGCAUCCCCAUGACAUAUGUAAGAGACCCACAAGUUUCCUGACAAUGUUAUAGCAGCAGAAGCACCACCAUUUUUAACAGAAAGCUGUAGAGAAUAUAAAAGAAACUGAGAAGCUGAUAACACAGUUGCAAAUGUGUGCUACCUUUUGUGAAAAAGAUGACUCUGAGACAGUCACAAGCCCAGAGAACUGAGCAGUGAGCUGAAGAUUACUCCCAGACCUUGAAACUUAAAGGAGGAUGCCUGGCUGGUUUUGUAAAUUGAUUGCUGCUCAUGGCUCCUUUUUUCAUCCAAAUUUCUGCUUUUUGAACAGGAAUGUGUAUAACUGUUACUGUAUGCCUGUCAUGCCAGCAUACUUGGGAGCAGAUAACUUGUUUUCUAGGUUCACAAGUGCACAGAUGGAGAGGAAUUAUGCCCCAGAAAUCACACCCCGAUCUUCUCAAACUUAAUUUAGAUGGCUUUAAUGUGAGAGUUGAGACUUUUGAGUUGGUGAGACUCAGAUAAGAUUUUGGAUUUAGAGUUGAUACUGUAAUAAUGGUUUGUGACUUUUGAGCACCUAUGAGUGAGGUAAAUUUGUGAUGAAUCUGAAUCUUUAACACAGGGGUGGAGCUGGGGGUGGGGGCGAACUGUAGUAGGCAAGAAUAAUGUUCUACGUAAAAUGUUAAUGUCCUAAUCUCCAAACCUAUAUGUAACCUUAGAUGGUAAAAGAGAUUUUGCAGACGUAAUUAAGGUUACUAUGGAUUUCAAGAUGAGGAGAUAAGCCUAGAUUAUCCAGUGGGCCUAAUUUAAUCAUUAGUCCUGCAGAGAACCUCUCCAGGCUGGUGUCAGAGAGAUGUGAUAACAGAAGGGUCAUAGAGAUGAAACAGUGCUGGUUUUUAAGAUGGAAGGAGGCCACAAGCCAAGGAAUGCGGAUGUCCUCUAGAAGGUGGAACGACAAGGAAAUGAUUCUCCU
rnacentral:lncRNA from 1 species